UCCGUGUUUGCUAAAACUGAAUGCUGUGGUGAUGGUCGUAACAUCCUAGAUAUCAAAGUAGGAAUAUUCUUCUCCCACCUGCUAACCUUGCCUGUAUUUAACACCAUACUGGGUGUGGGAGGUGUCCCGGCAUUAGUGAGUCAGCCAGCUGUGACAGUCACUAAAAGUUGGGGACGGAAGACCAGGAUCUCCCGGACUCCUGCUACCCAGCAAGCCAUGCUCCCCUUCCCACAUAUCAGGUCUCAGAAGAUGGCUCUGAAGAACCAGCAGCAGGAUUAUUGUUUUAAAGAACAACCCAAGUUGUGGAGGGCUGCUCAAUGUAGCCCAAACCUAACCCAGUGUAACCCUGUGGAGGAUACUGGGAAGGACAAAGAAGACUGGAUCACUUUGGAUAUUUAAACCAAGUUUAAAUAUUUGCAUGUUGGUAAAGAUGUGAUAAAACUGACUGUAUAAUAAUCUAAUAUCAAACUCCUUGCAAUUUAGCAUUUCUAUAUGUAAAAUAAAAGGCAAAU